AUUGAACGCUGGCGGCAUGCCUUACACAUGCAAGUCGAACGGUAACAGGUCUUCGGAUGCUGACGAGUGGCGAACGGGUGAGUAAUACAUCGGAACGUGCCUAGUAGUGGGGGAUAACUACUCGAAAGAGUGGCUAAUACCGCAUGAGAUCUACGGAUGAAAGCAGGGGAUCGCAAGACCUUGUGCUACUAGAGCGGCCGAUGGCAGAUUAGGUAGUUGGUGGGAUAAAAGCUUACCAAGCCGACGAUCUGUAGCUGGUCUGAGAGGACGACCAGGCACACUGGGACUGAGACACGGCCCAGACUCCUACGGGAGGCAGCAGUGGGGAAUUUUGGACAAUGGGCGAAAGCCUGAUCCAGCAAUGCCGCGAGCAGUAUGAAGGCCUUCGGGUUGUAAACUGCUUUUGUACGGAACGAAAAGCCCCGGGUUAAUACCCUGGGGUCAUGACGGUACCGUAAGAAUAAGCACCGGCUAACUACGUGCCAGCAGCCGCCGUAA
rnacentral:rRNA from 1 species